AACAAGGUGGUACAAUGGCUAGAACAAUGGACUUAAAAUCCAAAAGAGCUGAGUUCACAUCUUGGCUCAGAUA
rnacentral:tRNA from 1 species